GGCGGCGUGCCUAACACAUGCAAGUCGAGCGGAGAUACAUUGAAGAGCAAUCAGAUAUGUAUCUUAGCGGCGGACGGGUGAGUAACGCGUGGGCAACCUGCCUCAUACUGGGGGAUAACACAGGGAAACUUGUGCUAAUACCGCAUAAUAUCAUUAUAGGGCAUCCUGUGAUGAUCAAAGGAGCGAUCCGGUGUGAGAUGGGCCCGCGUCCAAUUAGCUAGUUGGUGAGGUAACGGCCCACCAAGGCGACGAUUGGUAGCCGAACUGAGAGGUUGAUCGGCCACAUUGGGACUGAGACACGGCCCAGACUCCUACGGGAGGCAGCAGUGGGGAAUAUUGCGCAAUGGGGGAAACCCUGACGCAGCAACGCCGCGUGAAGGAUGAAGGUCUUCGGAUUGUAAACUUCUUUACUAUGCGACUAACUAGAUUUACGAGAUAAUUCUAUAGAAUGUAGCAUAGCAAAAAGCACCGGCUAACUCCGUG
rnacentral:rRNA from 1 species